rnacentral:lncRNA from 1 species
UUUUUUUUUUUUUUUUCUGUCUCAAAUUUCUCAGAUGAAAGCGAACUGAGUUGCUGUGGACCAAAAUCUCCUACAGAGAAACCAAAUCAUAAGAACAAAAGUAUAAGACUGACCCUUAAAAUUAAUGACAUAAAGACAUGGAGAGCAAAGAAGCAUAGAACCUUGUUAGCAAAAUCUUUUAUUUUGUUUACAUACCAAAUGUAACAAAAUUCAUAAGCCAGAAAAUUUGAUAACAUGAAAGCGAGAAACUAAGCUGGACCAUUUAGCAAAACUAAGGGAACACGUUCAUUUAAAAUAAAUCAAAACCCAUUUCUUUUUACCCCAUCGAUUGUGAUUAAGCAGAUCUAUCAUAUUUCAGUUGCAAAAGGCAGAGGACUCAAGCUGAAGAGGUGCCUGCUGAUUUUUGUUGCUUUGGUAAGAUCUUUCACCUAUAAGGGACAUACAAAGAAAAGGUUUGAAUUGUCUCAAUCUACAUUUUUAUUUUCAAUGAACUUUAAAUUUUAGAAUCAUUUCAGGUUUACAAAAAAGUUGCAAAGGUAGUACAGAGAGUUCUUAUACACCCUGCACUGAUUUCCCUACCAGUUAACAUCUUACUAAGAUAGGUUUGUUACAAUGGAGCCAAUGUUGAUACAGAAUAUCAUUAAUCAAAGAAUAUACUUUAGUUAGAUUUCUCAGUUUUUACCUAAUGUCCUUUUUUUCUGUUCCAGGAUCCCAUCCAGUCUAGGACAUUACAUUUAGUCAUCAUGUUUCCAUAGGUUCCUCUACACUGUGACUGUUUCUCAGACUUUCCUUAUUUGUGAUGACCUUGACAGUUUUGUCAACUACUACUGGUCAGGUGUUUUGCAGAAUACCUAUGCUUUAGUUUAGAUUUGUCUAAUGUUUUUCUCCUGGUCAGACUGGAGUUAUGGGGUCUUAAGGGGAAGAUCACAAAGGUACAGUGUCAUUCUCAUCACAUCAUUUCAGGGGUACAUGCUAUUAACAUGACAUCACUGGUUCCAGUGUUCACAACUGGGAGCUUUUUCAGUUGGGUCCUAUGUCCCUUUCUUUCAACCUAUUUAUUUUUUAAUUAAUUAAUUUAUUUGAGAAAGAGACAGAGCACAAGUGGGAAAAGGACAGAGAGACUCCUCCACUGAGCAGGGUAAACUGACACAGGGCUCAAUCCCAGGACCCCAUGAUUAUGACCUGAGCUGAAGUCAGAUGCUUAACUGACUGAGCCACCCAGGCACCCCUCAACCUAUUUUUUUAAAACAUAAAUCAUGUUAUUUAUUGAUCUUUGUCUCUUGAUUCUCCCAUUUCAGGUAUUUGUAGAUCUAAAGUUUCACAGUUGAUGAAUAAUGCAGGGUUCAAAGUAAUGAGCCAGAGUCAGGAUCACCAAGGCAUUUUUACCUCAAACCAAUUCAAAGGUUCAGGAAGAUUAUUUCUCUGAGGCUAAAGAAAAAAAGUUCAGAUGUCAGGAUUCAUUAUGGAUAUGUGAGUAUAGAUUUCAUCUGACCUGUGUUGUGUAUUUAUUUAAAUGGUGUUGAGCUAGUCUUUGCUUCUGACUGCAUUGUACCUUUGCUUCUGCAUCUUUGCUUCUGACCUCAUCCUGUCCAGUCUGUGCUAUAAACCACUAUUUGAUUAAUUCUUCUAAAGUAUAGUUCUAUGUUACUCCCUUACAUAAAGCCUAUAAUAACUCCCACUGCUUUCCAAAUAAAAGACCAAGUCAUUAGCCUAGUUUCAUUGUAUUGUGUACCCCAACUCACUUUUAAAGUCUUUUCUUGUGAUUUUCCUACUUAUAUGUUCCUGCCAAGUUGGAUGGACCUAAGCUCAUAAAGAUGUUUUUCCUUUCUUUGCUUCUAUUUUUUCACUAACUUUGCUGAUUAGAAGCAAUAUCAAUUUCUAUUAAUAACAGUCACAUCUUAUGUCAGAGAUCUUAUGUUUGCCCCCAUCUGAUCCAUUUCCAUCCUUGUCUGCACUGCUGUGUGUCCUGGGAGGCUGACCUGUUGUAGACUACAGCAACACUCUCCUGCCCUCUGCCAACCAGUGGGUUCAAACAGUGGGAAGCCUAGAAGGACCUCAGAAAGUGAGAUCCAGGUACUUUUCCUCUUGCCUACUUCCUGUUGAGAGGUUACCAUUCCUCUCAGGGCAGCCUUCUCCUCAUAGCUCACUCCUUUGGGAUUCGGUAACUCCUGAGGCCUAGGGGUGGUAAAGUGGUUACAGUUUAAAUGUUGUCAGCCUAGGCUCUGGGACCAUCCCUUGUCAUUUCCCUAGACCUCCCACCGACACCUGUAUUGUAAGUGGUCUUCAUUAAAUCUUUGUAUUAUUACAAUUUGAGUGCCAUCUAUUUCCUAUUGUGACCUUAAUACUCAUGUCCUCUUUAGAAUUAAAAAAACACUCUUUCAAGAACCUUUCAUUUACACAUCUAACAGAAAAUGAUCUUUUCUUCCUCUGAACAUAAAAUAACACUUGGUCCAAAGGCAUUAGACAAACUCAUCAUUUUAUUUAAAAGCUGUCUAAUCUCCUCUUUCAGAGUAUAAAGUCUCUAAAUGCAAGAGGGCUAGCUUAUUUAUUUUUGUUCCCCACAGCACCUAGCAUUGUCCUGCAUAGGACUAGGUACUUUGAUACAUUAUUUGCCAAAUAAAUGACACUUUAAAACAUAUCAUCCAUGAGUUAUACUUGUUAACCUAUACAGAGUUCUCAUUCACUUGAGAAAGGAAAUAGGAUAUUACAAAGAAUGGAAAAAUAAUGCUUCCUUCCCAUACUCACAAUACAUUCUAUAAGAGACUGACAAAAUCAUGUUUGUUUCUAUUUAAUAGCUAAUUCUGAGAAUACUGGAAAAAUUAAUUGGAAAUGAUUUGAUUGAUUUUCAGAAGUUC